rnacentral:lncRNA from 1 species
CGUUAGAGCAAAUGGAUAAUUACAUUCAAACAAACAAAAUCUAGGGAGCUUUUUUAUAUAUUUUAUGUGAAAAUGACAACGAGAAUGAUGGUCGUAGUGUGAACGUAGUCAGGUCGUAAGAAGAGCGUGAUGAGGACGGCAAGGGCGUGCUAGAAUCGUACAAUGGUCGUGAACAGCGUGGUAUAGUCGUAGUGGAAGCGUAGCUGGGUCGCAGUGAGAACGUGAUGGUCGUAGUGAGGUCGUGAUAAUGUCGCUGUGCGAUCGUAGCGCAGUAUCUCCAAAUAGAAUCACGCUUUCGCUACGCUCUCGCUACGAUUGUAGAGCGACCUUUGAGAUCUUACUACGAUCUUAGUGCGCUCUCACUACGCUUCUACUACGACCUGAUUUCGCCACGACCGCACCACGAUUGUUUUGAACAUGUUCAAAGUUGGCCACGCUCUUCACGAUCUUGAAGACUCACCACGACCGUGAUACGACCUUACUGCGAUCUACACGAUCGCACUACGAUCAUCCAAAUUUGCAUUUUUUUUUCACAGAUCGUAGUGCGAUCGUGGCCUAGUGGGACUGGGGUAUUAAUAUAUUUUAUUUUAAAAUGACAAUGAGAAUGAUGGUCGUAGUAUGAACGUAGUCAGGUCGUAAGAAGAGCGUGAUGAGGACGGCAAGGGCGUGCUAGAAUCGUACUAUGGUCGUGAACAGCGUG